CCUACGGGCGGCAGCAGUGGGGAAUAUUGCACAAUGGGGGAAACCCUGAUGCAGCGACGCCGCGUGAGUGAAGAAGUAAUUCGUUAUGUAAAGCUCUAUCAGCAGGGAAGAAAAUGACGGUACCUGAGUAAGAAGCACCGGCUAACUACGUGCCAGCAGACGCGGGAAUACGUAGGGGGCAAGCGUUAGCCGGAUUUACGGGGUGGAAAGGGAGCGUAGACGGCAGUGCAAGGCGUGAGUGAAAGGCGGGGGGUCAACCCCCGGACUGCUCUGGAAACUGUACGGCUGGAGUGCAGGAGAGGUAAGUGGAAUUCCUAGUGUAGCGGUGAAAUGCGUAGAUAUUAGGAGGAACACCAGUGGCGAAGGCGGCUUACUGGACUGUAACUGACGUUGAGGCUCGAAAGCGUGGGGAGCAAACAGGAUUAGAUACCCGAGUAGUC
rnacentral:rRNA from 1 species